GGUUAAAAAGCUCGUAGUUGGAUUUCUGUUGAGGUCGGGCGGUGUACACCUCGUGUAUUAUUUGCUUCGGUCUCGGCAUCCUCUUGGGGAACGUUCAGGACUUUAUUGGACUGGGCGAGAUUCAAGACUUUUACUUUGAGGAAAUUAGAGUGUUCACGGCAGGCAAGUGCUUUGAAUACAUUAGCAUGGAAUAAUAAUAUAGGACCUUCGUUCUAUUUUGUUGGUUUCUAGAACUUAGGUAAUGAUUAAUAGGGACAAUUGGGGGCAUUCGUAUUAACGCGUCAGAGGUGGAAUUCUUGGAUUGCGUUACGACGAACUACUGCGAAAGCAUUUGCCAAAGAUGUUUUCAUUGAUCAAGAACGAAAGUAUGGGGAUCGAAGACGC
rnacentral:rRNA from 1 species